rnacentral:lncRNA from 1 species
CUCCUCCUUUCCCAAUCCCCAAGCUUAAACUGGAGGGGCUGUGCUUGGAGCCAGAUUCAUUAGGGCUGUGCCUUGCCUAUCCCUGUGAGGGCCCAGCCCAUCAGCCUCCUCCUCACUGUUUGCAGGUGCUCUCUACAGAGCACUGAGCAGCCCACCCUUUCACCAGGCUCACACCUGCACCCCUGUUCUCCACCAGCUGCCUCACUGCAGCCCCUGAGACAGCCAGGCCUUUCUAGGGCCCACACCUGGGCGUCUCCGCCGAGACCGACUUUCACGCCCACCUGGUCUUCCCCAAGACCCAGAGCCUUCAGAGGUUUCAUCAGAAUUCCCUCAGGAUGUGGGUUAUGAGUUGUCAUCCAAGCCCAGCAGGGGCCAGAGUGUAGGUGGGCCCAGAGGCUUCUGAGCUGGAGGUGAAAGGGGCUUGAAGGCCUCUGAGCGGAGCCGGGAACCCGCCCUCUGGGGACCUGGGAGCCGGCUCAGGUUCCAACACGAGGUCCCAGGCGCUCUCUUCUUGCUUCAGGGGCCUCCUGAAGAGAGAAGGGAGGCUGACCGUAGCUGCGACACCCCCUCAGUGCUGAACAGCAGGCGGGAAGCCCCUCUUGCACCGACUAGACCAGAACGGCAGACAUUUUCCCGACAAGGAAGGGGAGCAAGAUUGAGUAAGAUAAGCCCGGUUAUUUUUAUACAGACAUUGUUCCAACCACAAUGACUGUUUUCAAAGGUGGGCGGUAUUUGUUUGGUGGAAGGAUCUUUGAGUUGAGAGGCAGCAGGAUGCUUCAGCACCACCACUUCCUUUACUUUUCUGAGUGUUCCCCUAUCAAGCCACCAGUUCGGAUUCUGCUCCAUUUUUUCUGCCCGGUAAAGAAGUAGAAUGAGGUGAAAUAUGGCUACCUACUUGCCCCGGGGGGACAGUCAUGGCCGCUGGGUGUUUGCUGUGCGUCCUCAGACCACCUCAGCUCCUCCUUCCCUACACCUGGGACUCUUCUGCGCAGACUUGGCUUCAAACAAGGCUCACGGUUUUUCCUGGCAUUUGCUUUUUUGGCUUAUGUCACAUCAUUCCUGGGCCACACUCAAUUGCACGUGUGUCUUCUCUGUGAGCUGGGGCUAACACCUGAAGUCUUGCAGUCCACACACAACCCUCAUGCUUUGGCUGUGUUCCCAGGUACAGUAUAUACUUUUUGAAGUUUUGAGUGAUCAACUUCACAUUAAUCUAUUCUCCCUCACUCUAUUCUAAUCCUUUUGGCAAGAACCUGUUCCAAGAUAUUCUCCCCUUUUUUGGCCUAUUCAGCUUGAAACAGAAUGAUCAGAGUAUCACUUCCAGUUGAAGCACACUGCUG